CUCAAAACUCACUCGCUCUUUGUAUUGCUUUGACUUUUACAUUUGUUUUAAAUUUUUGUUUUAAGUUUUCAAGCAAUUUCUAUUUCCAAGACCUUUAGAGACGACUGGGGACGAGUCAGAACCUGUAGUGGAACAGAUCCAGUGAGACAGCAAGAAUCACUAUAAUCAGUGGUGAGUCAAAGUCAAACCUCUUCUGGCGGAGAGAAACAAAGGCGGUUAGUUUCUUUUGAAUGUUAACACUGCAUGAAAGCUAGGCGGUAUAUGUCUCUUUCAACUCUACUGGAGUAAAUGAAUUUGUUAAGUAUACCAUGUGAGGACCCGUGAGUAUACAGACACCGAGACACGAUACAAUAUGUAACAUUGCUGGCGAG